rnacentral:rRNA from 1 species
GUUUUUGGGCACACCACCCUGAAUGCACCCAGUCUCCUCUAACCUUGGAAGCUAAGCAGGAUUGGGCCUGGUUAGCACUCCUUGGAUGGGAGGAUAUGUGUUCUGUCGACA